rnacentral:rRNA from 1 species
UGAUGUUAGCGGCGGACGGGUGAGUAACACGUGGGUAACCUGCCUGUAAGACUGGGAUAACUCCGGGAAACCGGGGCUAAUACCGGAUGCUUGUUUGAACCGCAUGGUUCAAACAUAAAAGGUGGCUUCGGCUACCACUUACAGAUGGACCCGCGGCGCAUUAGCUAGUUGGUGAGGUAAUGGCUCACCAAGGCGACGAUGCGUAGCCGACCUGAGAGGGUGAUCGGCCACACUGGGACUGAGACACGGCCCAGACUCCUACGGGAGGCAGC